AUAGGGGAGCCGGAGGGAAACCGAGUCUUAACCGGGCGUUAAGUUGCAGGGUAUAGACCCGAAACCCGGUGAUCUAGCCAUGGGCAGGUUGAAGGUUGGGUAACACUAACUGGAGGACCGAACCGACUAAUGUUGAAAAAUUAGCGGAUGACCUGUGGCUGGGGGUGAAAGGCCAAUCAAACCGGGAGAUAGCUGGUUCUCCCCGAAAGCUAUUUAGGUAGCGCCUCGUGAAUUCAUCUCCGGGGGUAGAGCACUGUUUCGGCUAGGGGGCCAUCCCGGCUUACCAACCCGAUGCAAACUGCGAAUACCGGAGAAUGUUAUCACGGGAGACACACGGCGGGUGCUAACGUCCGUCGUGAAGAGGGAAACAACCCAGACCGCCAGCUAAGGUCCCAAAGUCAUGGUUAAGUGGGAAACGAUGUGGGAAGGCCCAGACAGCCAGGAUGUUGGCUUAGAAGCAGCCAUCAUUUAAAGAAAGCGUAAUAGCUCACUGGUCGAGUCGGCCUGCGCGGAAGAUGUAACGGGGCUAAACCAUGCACCGAAGCUGCGGCAGCGACACUCAGGUGUCGUUGGGUAGGGGAGCGUUCUGUAAGCCUGCGAAGGUGGCCUGUGAGGGUUGCUGGAGGUAUCAGAAGUGCGAAUGCUGACAUAAGUAACGAUAAAGCGGGUGAAAAGCCCGCUCGCCGGAAGACCAAGGGUUCCUGUCCAACGUUAAUCGGGGCAGGGUGAGUCGACCCCUAAGGCGAGGCCGAAAGGCGUAGUCGAUGGGAAACGGGUUAAUAUUCCCGUACUUGGUGUUACUGCGAAGGGGGGACGGAGAAGGCUAUGUUGGCCGGGCGACGGUUGUCCCGGUUUAAGCGUGUAGGUGUGUGUUCCAGGUAAAUCCGGUUCACUUUAACACUGAGGCGUGACGACGAGGCACUACGGUGCUGAAGCAACAAAUGCCCUGCUUCCAGGAAAAGCCUCUAAGCAUCAGGUAACAUCAAAUCGUACCCCAAACCGACACAGGUGGUCAGGUAGAGAAUACCAAGGCGCUUGAGAGAACUCGGGUGAAGGAACUAGGCAAAAUGGUGCCGUAACUUCGGGAGAAGGCACGCUGACACGUAGGUGAAGUGAUUUACUCAUGGAGCUGAAGUCAGUCGAAGAUACCAGCUGGCUGCAACUGUUUAUUAAAAACACAGCACUGUGCAAACACGAAAGUGGACGUAUACGGUGUGACGCCUGCCCGGUGCCGGAAGGUUAAUUGAUGGGGUCAGCGCAAGCGAAGCUCCUGAUCGAAGCCCCGGUAAACGGCGGCCGUAACUAUAACGGUCCUAAGGUAGCGAAAUUCCUUGUCGGGUAAGUUCCGACCUGCACGAAUGGCGUAAUGAUGGCCAGGCUGUCUCCACCCGAGACUCAGUGAAAUUGAACUCGCUGUGAAGAUGCAGUGUACCCGCGGCAAGACGGAAAGACCCCGUGAACCUUUACUAUAGCUUGACACUGAACAUUGAGCCUUGAUGUGUAGGAUAGGUGGGAGGCUUUGAAGUGUGGACGCCAGUCUGCAUGGAGCCGGCCUUGAAAUACCACCCUUUAAUGUUUGAUGUUCUAACGUGGACCCGUGAUCCGGGUUGCGGACAGUGUCUGGUGGGUAGUUUGACUGGGGCGGUCUCCUCCUAAAGAGUAACGGAGGAGCACGAAGGUUGGCUAAUCCUGGUCGGACAUCAGGAGGUUAGUGCAAUGGCAUAAGCCAGCUUGACUGCGAGCGUGACGGCGCGAGCAGGUGCGAAAGCAGGUCAUAGUGAUCCGGUGGUUCUGAAUGGAAGGGCCAUCGCUCAACGGAUAAAAGGUACUCCGGGGAUAACAGGCUGAUACCGCCCAAGAGUUCAUAUCGACGGCGGUGUUUGGCACCUCGAUGUCGGCUCAUCACAUCCUGGGGCUGAAGUAGGUCCCAAGGGUAUGGCUGUUCGCCAUUUAAAGUGGUACGCGAGCUGGGUUUAGAACGUCGUGAGACAGUUCGGUCCCUAUCUGCCGUGGGCGCUGGAGAACUGAGGGGGGCUGCUCCUAGUACGAGAGGACCGGAGUGGACGCAUCACUGGUGUUCGGGUUGUCAUGCCAAUGGCACUGCCCGGUAGCUAAAUGCGGAAGAGAUAAGUGCUGAAAGCAUCUAAGCACGAAACUUGCCCCGAGAUGAGUUCU
rnacentral:rRNA from 1 species